rnacentral:rRNA from 1 species
AAUCAACGCUGGCGGCGUGCCUAACACAUGCAAGUCGAACGCGACUGGGGCUUCGGCCUCAGUUGAGUGGCGAACGGGUGAGUAACACGUGGGUGACCUACCUUCGAAUGGGGGAUAACGUCCCGAAAGGGACGCUAAUACCGCAUAACAUCCUGCCUUUGAACAGGCGGAGAUCAAAGCCGGGGAUCGCAAGACCUGGUCGUUUGAAGGACGGGGCCCGCGUCCGAUUAGCUAGUUGGUGAGGUACGGCUCACCAAGGCGACGAUCGGUAGCCGGCCUGAGGA